CAGCUGCUGCUUGUGCUCCCUUCCUGUCCGCCCUCCAUCUCGACCAUGGUGGACAUUCUGCUGUUGAUGUUUUUCGCCGUCAUGGGCCUGGUCUUCCUCUCCUACAUCAUCUACAUGUUGUGAUGAAGACGCGUUCGGCUCAGCAGAGGCGCGAGCUGCCGCCGCGCAUCAUCAUCAUCMUCAUGUAUCGUCUUAACUGAGUGAAGAAGCAGGUCUGGGCCAUGAUGAUGCUCCUCCUGCAGCUCUCAGAUGGGACAUGAUAUGAGGAGUCCAAAGAACAAAUGGACAUCCUCUUCAUCACUUUUUUAAUCACUUUCAUCAUUUUCCUCACUCUGAUCUGGUCACUAAUCUCUAAUCUUAAUCUCACCCUGGUUCAGUUUGUCAGCUGGAGGCACAAAUCCUGUGUUUAUACGGGUUAGUCUUUUUUUUAUAUUACAUUUGUUUUAAAUCAGUUUGACACAAUUACCUAAAAACUGGUGUGCAAUUCAAUCACAAAAACUUCAGCAACAUAUUGGUUGUAAUCAAAAAUAUUUCAGCCCAGUUGCUCGGUUUCUGUUUUUGUUCCCUCAGAAUGAAUAAGGGUCAAAAAUCCAUCCACACGCCUUUCCGGAUGUACUUUUACAUGACGUGUUCUGAUUUGCUGUAUCAUGUUUACAGAUGCACUAACAGCUCGCUGAAAUUAUGUGUUGAAUAAAAAAAGACUAUCGAUGAA